AGCAGCCGCGGUAAUUCCAGCUCCAAUAGCGUAUAUUAAAGUUGCUGCAGUUAAAAAGCUCGUAGUUGAAUUUCGGGACCAUCAUGUCGGUCGUGCCUCGGUACGUACUGGUAUUGUUGGUUUCUCCCUUCUGACGAACCAUGAUGUCAUUUAUUUGGUGUUGUGGGGAAUCAGGACUGUUACUUUGAAAAAAUUAGAGUGUUUAAAGCAGGCUCACGCUUGAAUACAUUAGCAUGGAAUAAUGAAAUAGGACGUUUGAUUCUAUUUUGUUGGUUUCUAGGAUCGACGUAAUGAUUAAUAGGGAUAGUUGGGGGCAUUAGUAUUCAAUUGUCAGAGGUGAAAUUCUUGGAUUUAUUGAAGACUAACUACUGCGAAAGCAUUUGCCAAGGAUGUUUUCAUUAAUCAAGAACGAAAGUUAGGGGAUCGAAGACGAUCAGAUACCGUCGUAGUCUUAACCAUAAACUAUGCCGACUAGGGAUCGGAUGAUGUUAAUUUUUAAUGA
rnacentral:rRNA from 1 species